rnacentral:ncRNA from 1 species
UGUCAGCCCGGUUAGACGUAAAACGGCCGGCUCAUGUGGUGAGACCACGUAAAAAAUCGUA